rnacentral:rRNA from 1 species
GAUGAACGCUAGCGGCAGGCUUAAUACAUGCAAGUCGAGGGGCAGCAUUGGACUUCGGUCCAGAUGGCGACCGGCGCACGGGUGAGUAACGCGUACAUAACCUGCCCCGUACAGGGGGAUAAGCAUUGGAAACGAUGUCUAAUACCCCAUGGUAACCUCGAGUGGCAUCACUUGGGGUUUAAAGUUCCGGCGGUACGGGAUGGAUGUGCGUUGGAUUAGUUAGUUGGCGGGGUAACGGCCCACCAAGACGAUGAUCCAUAGGGGGCGUGAGAGCGUGGUCCCCCACACGGGUACUGAGACACGGACCCGACUCCUACGGGAGGCAGCAGUAAGGAAUAUUGGGCAAUGGAUGAGAGUCUGACCCAGCCAUGCCGCGUGCGGGAUGAAGGCCCUACGGGUCGUAAACCGCUUUUACGAAGGAAGAAAAAGUCCCGCUUGCGGGAUCGUGACGGUACUUCGUGAAUAAGGACCGGCUAACUCCG